CCUACGGGGCGCAGCAGUGGGGAAUAUUGGACAAUGGGCGAAAGCCUGAUCCAGCCAUGCCGCGUGUGUGAAGAAGGCCUUCGGGUUGUAAAGCACUUUCAGUGGGGAAGAAAGCCUUGGGGCUAAUACCCUCGAGGAAGGACAUCACCCACAGAAGAAGCACCGGCUAACUCCGUGCCAGCAGCCGCGGUAAUACGGAGGGUGCGAGCGUUAAUCGGAAUUACUGGGCGUAAAGCGCGCGUAGGCGGUCUGAUAAGCCGGUUGUGAGAGCCCCGGGCUCAACCUGGGAACGGCAUCCGGAACUGUCAGGCUAGAGUGCAGGAGAGGAAGGUAGAAUUCCCGGUGUAGCGGUGAAAUGCGUAGAGAUCGGGAGGAAUACCAGUGGCGAAGGCGGCCUUCUGGACUGACACUGACGCUGAGGUGCGAAAGCGUGGGUAGCAAACAGGAUUAGAUACCCGAGUAGUC
rnacentral:rRNA from 1 species